rnacentral:pre_miRNA from 1 species
CUCGUACUCCCUUCGUUCGAAAUUACUUGUCGCAGAAACGGAUGUAUCUAGACAUAUUUUAAUUCUAGAUACAUCCAUUUCCGAGACAAGUAAUUCCGAAUGGAGGGAGUACGUG